GGACUACCAGGGUUUCUAAUCCUGUUUGCUCCCCUAGCUUUCGUGCCUCAGUGUCAGGAGUUGUCCAGGGACUCGCCUUCGCCACUGGUGUUCCGCUUGAUAUCUACGCAUUUCACUGCUACACCAAGCAUUCCAGUCCCCCCUCCAACCCUCGAGCGAGGUAGUUUCCAAUGCAGUUUCGGAGUUGAGCUCCGAGAUUUCACAUCCGACUUACCUCACCACCUACGCACCCUUUACGCCCAGUGAAUCCGAACAACGCUUGGGACCUCUGUAUUACCGCGGCUGCUGGCAC
rnacentral:rRNA from 2 species